ACCUAACCAGAAAGCCACGGCUAACUACGUGCCAGCAGCCGCGGUAAUACGUAGGUGGCAAGCGUUAUCCGGAAUUAUUGGGCGUAAAGCGCGCGCAGGUGGUUUCUUAAGUCUGAUGUGAAAGCCCACGGCUCAACCGUGGAGGGUCAUUGGAAACUGGGAGACUUGAGUGCAGAAGAGGAAAGUGGAAUUCCAUGUGUAGCGGUGAAAUGCGUAGAGAUAUGGAGGAACACCAGUGGCGAAGGCGACUUUCUGGUCUGUAACUGACACUGAGGCGCGAA
rnacentral:rRNA from 1 species